rnacentral:rRNA from 1 species
GCUAAGAGUCCAGAAUAAGGCGCAAUCCUAUCAGUUUGUUGGUAGUGUAAAGGACUACCAAGGCUUCCACGGGUAACGGGAAAUCAGGGUUUUAUUCCGGAGAGGGAGCCUGAGAGAUGGCUCCCACGUCCAAGGACGGCAGCAGGCGCGAAAAUUAUCCACUCUUUUGAGAGGAGAUAGUUAUGAGACGUGAGUAAAAGAGCCGAGUGCAAAUGCCUCGGUGUAAAGCAAUUGGAGGGCAAGUUUUGGUGCCAGCAGCCGCGGUAAUACCAACUCCAAGAGUGUCUCUGACGGAUGCUGCAGUUAAAAAGUCCGUAGUCUUUUAUGCAAUUAAAGGGUGGAGCUCAAAGCCACUGAGUUUGUUGUUGCUAGCGGAACGGAUUGGGGGCAUGGUAUAGGUAGGCCAAGAAUGAAAUCUCAAGACCCUACCUGGACCAACUGAGGCGAAAGCGAUGCCCUGAGACGUAUCUUUGGAUCAAGGACGAAGGCUAGAGUAUCGAGAGUGAUUAGACACCGCUGUAGUUCUAGCAGUAAACUAUGCCGACAACCUGUGCCCUACGGGGCGCGGGUGGGAGAAAUCUUAGUUUUCGGGCUCUGGGGAUAGUAUGCUCGCAAGGGUGAAACUUAAAGCG